UGACAUUAGAUACACAACCUUAUAUAAUUGAACCAUGGAGCUUACAAAUACAGAUUUUUCUUUUUUUUCUAAAAAUACGGUAAUAUGUAUGUAAUAUAUACAUACAUACAAGGGAAAUUAUUGUUUAUAUAUAAAGGUUAAUCCGUUUUUGUCUAGCGAUUUUACGUUAAUAACAUACAAAUAGUAAUAAUUACACGAUAAGGGGUUUUAAACACUACCCAUAAACUUUAGCAGUACUGUGCCGUAAUAGAAUAAAUAAAUCCUACGUUAGAAUAAAUUUAUUGAGGACGCAAUUAAUUAUCAUAUUUAUUAGAUAUUUUUAUAGUUGUAAUCCUGACCUAUCAAUAAGACAAAAAUAUAUAUGUACAUAUCUCAAAUAAACUUACCUUAAUACGUGGAUCCAGUUCAGUGCACUCUGCCGCUGCAGCCAUUUUUUCUUUGCGAAUUUCACUUGCACUUUCUGUUUUGAGUAAACCGCCAGUCACUUGCAAUGCCAAACUUCUAGCAAGAAAUCAAAGUACAUGGAAUUAUGUACGAAAAUCCUAUUAGAAAAAUGUAUGUGAACGUGGGGAGCUGAAGCACAAUCUGAUAUGCAUUGAUGUAGUAUCUUUCCAAGUAUUUUGUAAACGCGAAUUAUGCACUUUCAAUUACAGCUUGUACGAAUAGGAAAACGCACACAAUUUCUCAAGCUUUAACCAAACUUAUGGAUAAUCGAUUCCACUUUUAAAAAUGUGCUUGUGCCUAGUACUACUUUUGUAAAGCACUACCAUGGAGUUAAGAAAAUAUUCAAUACGGAGAUUAGUUACUCUCUGUGUGAUGUCCAACAACGAAUUUGUGAAAUUUCCAAAACCUAACAAUUUGCAUACACUAAUACUUAUAUAAUUUUUCGCGAAACUUUGUUCUGCACUCCACUUUUAAUUUCCAAGCAAAUAAAUAGUGAAUUUUGUACUUAAACCUC